rnacentral:rRNA from 1 species
UACAGAGGGUGCGAGCGUUAAUCGGAAUUACUGGGUGUAAAGGGCGCGUAGGCGGCAAGAUGUGUGUGAUGUGAAAGCCCCGGGCUCAACCCGGGAAGUGCACUCGAUACUGCCAAGCUAGAGUAUCGGAGAGGUUGGUGGAAUUCUCGGUGUAGAGGUGAAAUUCGUAGAUAUCGAGAGGAACACCGGUGGCGAAGGCGGCCAACUGGACGAAUACUGACGCUGAGACUCGAAAGCGUGGGGAGCAAACAGG